GCCCAGUGAUGAGAUCAUGGCGUUUAUGAGCUUGUUGGACCAAGAGAUCUUGCUCUUAUGUCACUUGGUUGGUGGGUAAUCUUGGCAGUGUGACGGAGUCUUGUUGCACUGCUGUAAGGGCGCACCUACAGUCAUUUAGAGCCCUACACUUUCUGUCCUCUCAGUAGAAAUGCAGAUGGACACAUGGUAGGGCUCAGACAAUGCGUGUCUGUCAUGUCUUUGUAUGAAAGGUUUUUGAAUGUAAAUGUAUCAGGUGACAAGAAGCAAGUCUCUGUUGAGGGUCUUUUGAAAGCAAAGAUUAUUAUUAUUCUUUGGUAAUCUGAGGGCA
ensembl:snoRNA small nucleolar RNA U85